rnacentral:rRNA from 1 species
AUUGCCCCAGUAACGGCGAGUGAAGCGGCAAGAGCUCAAAUUUGAAAGCUGGCUCCUUCGGGGUCCGCAUUGUAAUUUGCAGAGGAUGCUUCGGGAGCGGUCCCCAUCUAAGUGCCCUGGAACGGGACGUCAUAGAGGGUGAGAAUCCCGUAUGGGAUGGGGUGUCCGCGCCCGUGUGAAGCUCCUUCGACGAGUCGAGUUGUUUGGGAAUGCAGCUCUAAAUGGGUGGUAAAUUUCAUCUAAAGCUAAAUAUUGGCCGGAGACCGAUAGCGCACAAGUAGAGUGAUCGAAAGAUGAAAAGCACUUUGAAAAGAGAGUUAAAAAGCACGUGAAAUUGUUGAAAGGGAAGCGCUUGCGACCAGACUCGCUCGCGGGGUUCAGCCGGCAUUCGUGCCGGUGUACUUCCCCGCGGGCGGGCCAGCGUCGGUUUGGGCGGUCGGUCAAAGGCCCUCGGAAGGUAACUCCCCUAGGGGCGUCUUAUAGCCGAGGGUGCAAUGCGACCUGCCUAGACCGAGGAACGCGCUUCGGUUUGUACGCUGGCAUAAUGGUCGUAAGCGACCCGUCUUGAAACACGGACCCAAGGAGUCUUACAUCUACUCGAGUGUUCGGGGUGUCAAACCCGUUCGCGAAGUGAAAGCGAACGGAGGUGGGAACCCUUACGGGUGCACCAUCGACCGAUCCUGAAGUCUUCGGAUGGAUUUGAGUAAGAGUCGUAGCUGUUGGGACCCGAAAGAUGGUGAACUAUGCCUGAAUAGGGCGAAGCCAGAGGAAACUCUGGUGGAGGUCUCGUAGCGGUUCUGACGUGCAAAUCGAUCGUCGAAUUGGGUAUAGGGGCGAAA